rnacentral:rRNA from 1 species
UACGAGUGCCCCGAGCGUUAUCCGGAAUUAUUGGGCGUAAAGGGUGUGUAGGUGGUUGUGUUAGUCUUCUGUGAAAUUCUUCGGCUUAACCGGGGACCCGCAGAGGAAACGGCACAACUAGAGGAUGCCGAGAGGUGAAUGGAACUCAUGGAGUAGGGGUGAAAUCCGUUGAUAUCAUGGGGAACACCAAAUGCGAAGGCAUUCACUGGCGCACUCCUGACACUGAAACACGAAAGCGUAGGUAGCGAAUGGG